UACGUAGGGCGCAAGCGUUGUCCGGAAUUAUUGGGCGUAAAGAGCUCGUAGGCGGCUUGUCACGUCUGGUGUGAAAGCCCGGGGCUUAACUCCGGGUCUGCAUUCGAUACGGGCUGGCUAGAGUGUGGUAGGGGAGAUCGGAAUUCCUGGUGUAGCGGUGAAAUGCGCAGAUAUCAGGAGGAACACCGGUGGCGAAGGCGGAUCUCUGGGCCAUUACUGACGCUGAGGAGCGAAAGCGUGGGGAGCGAACAGG
rnacentral:rRNA from 1 species